rfam:Daedalea quercina L-15889 unplaced genomic scaffold DAEQTscaffold_1, whole genome shotgun sequence.
GCCCGCCUAGCUCAAUCGGAUAGAGCGUCAGACUCUUACCAAUUACCAUUGGUGCUAGCGGGUAUCUGAAGGCUGCGAGUUCGACCCUCGCGGUGGGCU